rnacentral:lncRNA from 1 species
GAAUAAGUUGGCACCUGUUUUAGCAUCCUAAACCUGUAUUAACCCAUGACUUUUUUAAGCUUCACUUCAAAGCAGUUUGAAGCCGGUUCAGGUUAAAACCCUAACCCGAUUUGUGCACCUCUAACUUCAACUACGUCUCUAGACCUGUUUAUCAAAAAAUGCAGCAAUUAACCCCAAAGAUACCCUAACCAUCAUCUUUAUGGUUAUGAUCAUCAGCCUUCAGGUUCUCCACACGGAGAUGGCUUAUGACCAUUGCCCUAAAAAUGAAAUAACAUAGAAUGUUAAGCCCUUAAAAUCAAUGCCAAUUUGAUUAAAGUUUUCUGAUUUGAUACUUAGAAGUUGCUUGUGUUUUCGAUGACAAGGGGAUAGCCCCUACAAAAUUUUAUUAGUAUAAACUUUGUACAACAAGUUGUAUGUAUAUGAACUAAACCAAUUGAAGAUUUGUGUGUAACUGAAAAAACUUUUAUUAAAACACCUACAGAAAGAAUAUCAAUGUAACAUAUAGAAAACAUAUGAAUCCUGAUUAAUUAACUUUACCAAAAAAAUUAUCCAAAUUUUUCAGAUUCGACUGAAUCCCAACAAAGAGCGUUAAACCAAAAAAACAGCCAAAAGAUUAUGUAAAUAUAAACAUCCUUAAGUUGCCAUAGAUCUAAAGGAUAGCUUCUUGAAGCUCAACGAAUUAUAUAGAAUUUAUACGAUUAACAG